rnacentral:rRNA from 1 species
UACAGAGGUCCCGAGCGUUGUUCGGAUUCACUGGGCGUAAAGGGUGUGUAGGCGGUUGUUUAAGUUUGGUGUGAAAUCUCCCGGCUCAACUGGGAGGGUGCGCCGAAUACUGAAUGACUUGGAGUGCGGGAGAGGAAAGUGGAAUUCCUGGUGUAGCGGUGAAAUGCGUAGAUAUCAGGAGGAACACCGGUGGUGUAGACGGCUUUCUGGACCGUAACUGACGCUGAGACACGAAAGCGUGGGUAGCAAACAGG